GCAUCUGUAGUGUAGUGGUUAUCAUCCCAGCCUUCCAUUCAUCGUGGCUCAGCUGGGGACCCGGUUUCGAUUACCGGCGGAUGCA
rnacentral:tRNA from 1 species